UGCUAUUCUCUGGUGCACCAUCAUUUUUGUGGACUCUACUGCCUGUACCGAUUUCAUUGGUUUCUGCCAUCAGCUCCAGACAAACCUAACUAAAGACCUACAGGCAGGUAUAAUUUUCAAACAAUCGCGGUCACGCCUAUCCUUCAUAUGCUACACCAACAAAUCCAAGUCAACAGCUCUAUCAUCGACAAGAAGUCAUUGUGCAGCAGCUUCUUCCAAAUGAAACAAGAAAUCCGCAGCCAAUCGUAGUUGAAGGUGACGGCAACUGCCUAUCUAGGUAACACCGCGCGUUGGGUAGACGUCGUUACAAUGAGAUAGUUGCGUGUUCUGGAUACCUCUUGUUUGUUUGCUCCUCAAAGAUAGAGUGUGGCUGCUUCGUUCUUUGUUCUAGUUGUAGACACCUCGAGUUGUCAUUUACGAAUAUGGUACAACUCGUCAAGUUUGAUGACACUGUUACAGUUUCCCGGUCAUCUGAAUUUCUAUGUUGUGUACAGUUACAUCAAUACGUUUGAGUAGCUAUAGCGUUCUUUUUGUGUCGUCAGUUUGCGGAUUAGCAAUUCGAAAGCAAUUCUAGCUCGGAUUCUGCAACUUCCGCAUACGUAACUUUCUCACGCUCAAAGGAAUGCGGAGAGAAUCAGUAGAAAAGCAAGAAAAUCGCUUGUUUUCUGUGACAAAACUAGAGGUCUUUGAACGUAUUUGUUGAUGACGCCAUCAUGCUAGCCUUCGAACCUUUUUCGAACUGUAUUUGGUUGCACCAUGAACUUGCUGUCUGGUGCCAUUUGACAUCCUACAGGAAUGCAGACAGAAUCAGUAGAAAAGCAAGAAACUCGCUUGUUUUCUGUGACAAAACUAGAGGUCUUGGAAGCGCUUUGUUUGAUGAGGCAUUCAUGUCAGUAUGGGACAUUUUUCAAAUUUUGUUAUAAACACAUGAAAACCACACGAUUGUCUUUUGCAAGACACUGGGUUGAUGGAAAGUCAUGGCAAAGUUAAGUGCAUUUUAACAGAACCAAGAGGCAGCAAGGAAACUGACUUUGAGAGUGUUUUGCAAGAGUUUUAUGACAUCAUUCAGAGGGCAGAUGAGGCUGAUGCUAGAGGUGCAUUGUUAAUAGCAGUCUUUCGAGGCAAGGUCAGUGAAGGACUUGAUUUUGCUGACAACAAUGCUAGAGCAGUCAUUACGAUUGGAAUUCCUUUUCCGGGCAUUAAAGAUGCUCAGGUAAAACUGAAGAGGACGUAUAACUAUCAGUAUGCUAGCGAGCGAGGUCUUUUGCGAGGAGCUGUGUGGUAUGAGACACAGGCAUUUUGAGCACUCAAUCAGCCUGAAGGAGAUUCACUCCAACAUUAGUUGGAGACGAUUGCAGACUCGGCUCCAGGCAUAGAUGGGUCUACGAGCCUGCAGUUCUCAACUUGCAACUGGAGAUUGCUGUAGGAGCAUUGAUGUGCACUCGUGUAUGCCGACUAGAGACUUAUGGACGACCUGGUCAUGUGUACACACGGACGGACGGAAAUCUUAACACAGCUGGCAAUUUAAGAUGAUGUACUGCUUGCUGCACAUCACCCAACUGACUGACAGAAGUAAUCUCACUGUUUUCAGCUUCUAAAGGAAACCUAGCUUCUCGCCCAUGCAUUAAAAAGAAAGGAGAGAACUUGGUGGACUCUUGAACACUGGUUCGAAUAGCAAAGAGAGCUGGGUCAAGGAGUUCAUCCCAGUCUUCUUCAUGCUCUAUUACCAAUUUUUCAAGGCAUCUAUGUAGUCAUAAUACUCUAAUUGCAAUAGAACUACACUUAUCUUCUUAUAUUGUUUAUCUUACUUUCUAAUUGUUUGAUUUGUUCUUUCAUCUAGUCGGUUAGACUGAGGAUGAUAAGCUGCUGUUAUUCUUUGCCUGACAUUGAAUUGACAAUGGAGUACCUUGCA